UACGUAGGUGGCAAGCGUUGUCCGGAUUUAUUGGGUGUAAAGGGAGCGUAGACGGCACAGCAAGUCUGAAGUGAAAUCCCCGGGCUCAACCCGGGAACUGCUUUGGAAACUGUUGGGCUGGAGUGUUGGAGAGGCAAGCGGAAUUCCUAGUGUAGCGGUGAAAUGCGUAGAUAUUAGGAGGAACACCAGUGGCGAAGGCGGCUUGCUGGACAAUCACUGACGUUGAGGCGCGAAAGUGUGGGGAGCAAACAGG
rnacentral:rRNA from 1 species